rnacentral:rRNA from 1 species
AUUGAACGCUGGCGGCAGGCUUAAUACAUGCAAGUCGAGGGGUAGCAAGAUUGUAGCAAUACAAUUGUUGACGACCGGCAAACGGGUGCGGAACACGUACACAACCUUCCUACAAGUGGGGAAUAGCCCAGAGAAAUUUGGAUUAAUACCCCGUAACAUAGCGAUGUGGCAUCACAUUGCUAUUAUAGCUUCGGCGCUUGUUGAUGGGUGUGCGGCUGAUUAGAUAGUUGGCGGGGUAACGGCCCACCAAGUCUACGAUCAGUAGCUGAUGUGAGAGCAUGAUCAGCCACACGGGAACUGAGACACGGGCCCGACUCCUACGGGAGGCAGCAGUAAGGAAUAUUGGACAAUGGACGCAAGUCUGAUCCAGCCAUGCCGCGUGAAGGAUUAAGGUCCUCUGGAUUGUAAACUUCUUUUAUAAGGGACGAAAAAAGGUCUUUCUAGAUCGUCUGACGGUACCUUAUGAAUAAGCACCGGCUAACUCCGUGCCAGCAGCCGCCGCCUGUA